rnacentral:rRNA from 1 species
GGUAAUGCCGGAUGCUCCAUCACACCGCAUGGUGUGUUGGGAAAGCCUUUGCGGCAUGGGAUGGGGUCGCGUCCUAUCAGCUUGAUGGCGGGGUAACGGCCCACCAUGGCUUCGACGGGUAGCCGGCCUGAGAGGGCGACCGGCCACAUUGGGACUGAGAUACGGCCCAGACUCCUACGGGAGGCAGCAGUGGGGAAUAUUGCACAAUGGGCGCAAGCCUGAUGCAGCGACGCCGCGUGAGGGAUGGAGGCCUUCGGGUUGUAAACCUCUUUUGUUAGGGAGCAAGGCAUUUUGUGUUGAGUGUACCUUUCGAAUAAGCACCGGCUAACUACGUGCCAGCAGCCGCGGUAAUACGUAGGGUGCAAGCGUUAUCCGGAAUUAUUGGGCGUAAAGGGCUCGUAGGCGGUUCGUCGCGUCCGGUGUGAAAGUCCAUCGCUUAACGGUGGAUCCGCGCCGGGUACGGGCGGGCUUGAGUGCGGUAGGGGAGACUGGAAUUCCCGGUGUAACGGUGGAAUGUGUAG